AGGGAAUCUUCGGCAAUGGACGGAAGUCUGACCGAGCAACGCCGCGUGAGUGAAGAAGGUUUUCGGAUCGUAAAGCUCUGUUGUAAGAGAAGAACGAGUGUGAGAGUGGAAAGUUCACACUGUGACGGUAUCUUACCAGAAAGGGACGGCUAACUACGUGCCAGCAGCCGCGGUAAUACGUAGGUCCCGAGCGUUGUCCGGAUUUAUUGGGCGUAAAGCGAGCGCAGGCGGUUUGAUAAGUCUGAAGUUAAAGGCUGUGGCUCAACCAUAGUUCGCUUUGGAAACUGUCAAACUUGAGUGCAGAAGGGGAGAGUGGAAUUCCAUGUGUAGCGGUGAAAUGCGUAGAUAUAUGGAGGAACACCGGUGGCGAAAGCGGCUCUCUGGUCUGUAACUGACGCUGAGGCUCGAAAGCGUGGGGAGCGAACAGGAUUAGAUACCCCGGUAGUCCUGGCCGUAAACGAUGGGUACUAGGUGUAGGAGGUAUCGACCCCUUCUGUGCCGGAGUUAACGCAAUAAGUACCCCGCCUGGGGAGUACGACCGCAAGGUUG
rnacentral:rRNA from 1 species